rnacentral:rRNA from 1 species
UACGGGGGGGAGCAAGCGUUGUUCGGAUUUACUGGGCGUAAAGGGCGCGUAGGCGGUCGUGACAAGUCACUUGUGAAAUCUCCGGGCUUAACUCGGAACGGUCAAGUGAUACUGUCGGACUAGAGUACAGAAGGGGCAACUGGAAUUCUCGGUGUAGCGGUGAAAUGCGUAGAUAUCGAGAGGAACACCGUGGCGGCGAAAGGGCGGGGUUCUCUGGGGCCGUAUACUGACGCUGAGGACGAAAGCGUGGGGAGCGAACAGG